rnacentral:rRNA from 1 species
GGGUUGUGAGGUUAAGCGACUAAGCGUACACGGUGGAUGCCCUGGCAGUCAGAGGCGAUGAAGGGCGUGCUAAUCUGCGAUAAGCGCCGGUAAGGUGAUAUGAACCGUUAUAACCGGCGAUACCCGAAUGGGGAAACCCAGUGUGAUUCGUCACACUAUCAUUAACUGAAUCCAUAGGUUAAUGAGGCGAACCGGGGGAACUGAAACAUCUAAGUACCCCGAGGAAAAGAAAUCAACCGAGAUUCCCCCAGUAGCGGCGAGCGAACGGGGAGGAGCCCAGAGCCUGAAUCAGCAUGUGUGUUAGUGGAAGCGUCUGGAAAGGCGCGCGAUACAGGGUGACAGCCCCGUACACAAAAGCGCAUGUGCUGUGAGCUCGAUGAGUAGGGCGGGACACGUGGUAUCCUGUCUGAAUAUGGGGGGACCAUCCUCCAAGGCUAAAUACUCCUGACUGACCGAUAGUGAACCAGUACCGUGAGGGAAAGGCGAAAAGAACCCCGGCGAGGGGAGUGAAAAAGAACCUGAAACCGUGUACGUACAAGCAGUGGGAGCACAGGUUUACCUGUGUGACUGCGUACCUUUUGUAUAAUGGGUCAGCGACUUAUAUUCUGUAGCAAGGUUAACCGUAUAGGGGAGCCGUAGGGAAACCGAGUCUUAACCGGGCGUUAAGUUGCAGGGUAUAGACCCGAAACCCGGUGAUCUAGCCAUGGGCAGGUUGAAGGUUGGGUAACACUAACUGGAGGACCGAACCGACUAAUGUUGAAAAAUUAGCGGAUGACCUGUGGCUGGGGGUGAAAGGCCAAUCAAACCGGGAGAUAGCUGGUUCUCCCCGAAAGCUAUUUAGGUAGCGCCUCGUGAAUUCAUCUCCGGGGGUAGAGCACUGUUUCGGCUAGGGGGCCAUCCCGGCUUACCAACCCGAUGCAAACUGCGAAUACCGGAGAAUGUUAUCACGGGAGACACACGGCGGGUGCUAACGUCCGUCGUGAAGAGGGAAACAACCCAGACCGCCAGCUAAGGUCCCAAAGUCAUGGUUAAGUGGGAAACGAUGUGGGAAGGCCCAGACAGCCAGGAUGUUGGCUUAGAAGCAGCCAUCAUUUAAAGAAAGCGUAAUAGCUCACUGGUCGAGUCGGCCUGCGCGGAAGAUGUAACGGGGCUAAACCAUGCACCGAAGCUGCGGCAGCGACGUUUAUGCGUUGUUGGGUAGGGGAGCGUUCUGUAAGCCUGCGAAGGUGGCCUGUGAGGGUUGCUGGAGGUAUCAGAAGUGCGAAUGCUGACAUAAGUAACGAUAAAGCGGGUGAAAAGCCCGCUCGCCGGAAGACCAAGGGUUCCUGUCCAACGUUAAUCGGGGCAGGGUGAGUCGACCCCUAAGGCGAGGCCGAAAGGCGUAGUCGAUGGGAAACGGGUUAAUAUUCCCGUACUUGGUGUUACUGCGAAGGGGGGACGGAGAAGGCUAUGUUGGCCGGGCGACGGUUGUCCCGGUUUAAGCGUGUAGGCUGGUUUUCCAGGCAAAUCCGGAAAAUCAAGGCUGAGGCGUGACGACGAGGCACUACGGUGCUGAAGCAACAAAUGCCCUGCUUCCAGGAAAAGCCUCUAAGCAUCAGGUAACAUCAAAUCGUACCCCAAACCGACACAGGUGGUCAGGUAGAGAAUACCAAGGCGCUUGAGAGAACUCGGGUGAAGGAACUAGGCAAAAUGGUGCCGUAACUUCGGGAGAAGGCACGCUGACACGUAGGUGAAGUGAUUUACUCAUGGAGCUGAAGUCAGUCGAAGAUACCAGCUGGCUGCAACUGUUUAUUAAAAACACAGCACUGUGCAAACACGAAAGUGGACGUAUACGGUGUGACGCCUGCCCGGUGCCGGAAGGUUAAUUGAUGGGGUCAGCGCAAGCGAAGCUCCUGAUCGAAGCCCCGGUAAACGGCGGCCGUAACUAUAACGGUCCUAAGGUAGCGAAAUUCCUUGUCGGGUAAGUUCCGACCUGCACGAAUGGCGUAAUGAUGGCCAGGCUGUCUCCACCCGAGACUCAGUGAAAUUGAACUCGCUGUGAAGAUGCAGUGUACCCGCGGCAAGACGGAAAGACCCCGUGAACCUUUACUAUAGCUUGACACUGAACAUUGAGCCUUGAUGUGUAG